rnacentral:rRNA from 1 species
CCUACGGGAGGCAGCAGUAAGGAAUAUUGGUCAAUGGACGAAAGUCUGAACCAGCCAUGCCGCGUGAAGGAUGACGGCCCUCUGGGUUGUAAACUUCUUUUAUCUGGGACGAAAAAAGGGAAUUCUUUCUCACUUGACGGUACCAGAGGAAUAAGCACCGGCUAACUCCGUGCCAGCAGCCGCGGUAAUACGGAGGGUGCAAGCGUUAUCCGGAUUCACUGGGUUUAAAGGGAGCGUAGGUGGGCAGGUAAGUCAGUGGUGAAAUCUCCGGGCUUAACCCGGAAACUGCCAUUGAUACUAUUUGUCUUGAAUUAUCUGGAGGUAAGCGGAAUAUGUCAUGUAGCGGUGAAAUGCUUAGAUAUGACAUAGAACACCCAUUGCGAAGGCAGCUUACUACGGAUAUAUUGACACUGAGGCUCGAAAGCGUGGGGAUCAAACAGGAUUAGAUACCCUGGUAGUCCACGCCCUAAACGAUGGAUACUCGACAUCAGCGAUACACUGUUGGUUGUCGUGAGCGAAGACGAUAGUAUACCACCGUACGGAGGUACGGACCGAACCGUAGGUUAGUUAAACGUUACGUAAAGUUAGUUAAGUUAGUUACGGCGUUGAGACGUUGCCGACGGACGACGACGAGGGAGGAGG